AGUCAUUGGGUUAUAUUAAACCUAAUGGCGUAAUUAACUUAACUGUAUGGGAUUAAUUUUUAGUGUAUUACACUAUUAAUUCAAUCCCGGGGCGUUCCAUAUAGUUAUGUAUAAUGGUAAUUUAUUAUUAUUUAUACCUCUAACUGGAGCGUACCUUGAGCAUAUAUGCUGUGACCCGAAAGAUGGUGAACUAUACUUGAUCAGGUUGAAGUCAGGGGAAACCCUGAUGGAAGACCGAAACAGUUCUGACGUGCAAAUCGAUUGUCAGAAUUGAGUAUAGGGGCGAAAGACCAAUCGAACCAUCUAGUAGCUGGUUCCCUCCGAAGUUUCCCUCAGGAUAGCUGGUGCAUUUAAAUAUUAUGUAAAAUAAUCUUAUCUGGUAAAGCGAAUGAUUAGAGGCCUUAGGGUCGAAACGACCUUAACCUAUUCUCAAACUUUAAAUGGGUAAGAACCUCACCUUUCUUGAUAUGAAGGUUGAGGUUAUGAUAUAAUGUGCCCAGUGGGCCACUUUUGGUAAGCAGAACUGGCGCUGUGGGAUGAA
rnacentral:rRNA from 1 species